rnacentral:lncRNA from 1 species
CAUAUUGUUUUCCAAAGAUAUCUUGAUGCAUAUUACUAUUUGAGUUCUAUACUUCUGCUUCUAGCUGUCACAAAAGCAUUGCAAUGACUUACGUGGUGCAUGACAGCAUGAUGAGUAAUGCAAAUUGAACUUCCCUUCUAACUCCUGAUUCUCGGAGAUUAAGUGUGAGGAAAACUUCCUAGCAACUCCCUCUGUUCAAGUCGUUUUAGAUUUUCUAGAUGCAUAAUUUUAACUAUGCACCUAGAUAUAUGCUUAUGCUACAUAUAAAGUAAAUACUAUAUUCAUAGAAAAGUUAAAACAACCUAUAAUUUGAAACGGAAAUGUACUUUUCGAUCAGAAGGUUUUGUUAUCAAAUCGGUUGUUUUCCACUUCAUAAUCGAAUAUUCUCUUCUUCUUUUGAAUCUGGC